rnacentral:pre_miRNA from 1 species
UUUACAGUAUAAAUAUGUCCCAUGCAAUAUUUGGGGUAUACUUUUACUUAAA